rnacentral:rRNA from 1 species
CAGCGCCACGAGUGGUAACCGCGAUUAUUGGGCCUAAAGCGUCCGUAGCCGGCCUUGUAAAUCCUUUGUGAAAUUGUUUGGCUUAACCAAACAACGUGCAAGGGACACUGCAAGGCUCGAGACCGGGAGGAGUCAGAAGUAUUCCAGGGGGAGCGGUAAAAUGUUAUAAUCCCUGGAGGACUACCUGUGGCGAAGGCGUCUGACCAGAACGGAUCUGACGGUGAGGGACGAAAGCUAGGGGAGCGAACCGGAUUAGAUACCCGAGUAGUCC